AGCUGUGCGAAAAAAUCAAUAUCACUCUUCAAAUCAUUAAUUUGUGCAUAUGAGUUACCACAGGCAAAAUCAAAAUGCCAUACUCACCAGCCUGACAGUUAAAACCAGCAUAACCAGGCUUGCAUUUACAAAUAUUGGGUGCCACACACUCCAUAUUUUUGCCACAUGUUUGUCUACAUCUUGCUGAAAGGCAAUGAAGAAAACAAAGGGAAUAAGGAAAAUAAAAUUGGCAUUUCACACAACUGUGUUUUGCCUAACAUAAUGCACAAAUCACAGAGAAUCCAUUAUGCCACUGUCUGUAAAUGGGAGUCUAAGACACAUCAGGAAAAUAUUUUUAAGUGCAUCCUUACAACUAAAAGCCUGUAGGCUAUGCCAAUAUUAAUAAUGAAAGUGAGAAAAUUCAAUACACUAAGCUUUUCACUGAUUAUACAGUAACAAUGUACUUUCAAGUUAUAAAGACAUCUCAAUAUUCUUUUUUUCAAGUCAUUUAAGUUCAGUUAUUUGUAAUACCUCUGCAAGUGAAGCCAUCUCCAUAAUAACCAUAAGGACAACGACCACACCUGAUGCUUCCAUCCAGACUUGGCUCACAGUGUACACCAGGAAAACAGGGUGAUACAGCAUGGCUCUCUGAAGAUGCAGUCAUCACAGUAUGUACUGAAGAACUCACUUCCACGUCAGCAAGGUGACCACUGAUGGUCCUGAGAGUGUGAGCAAUGUUUCCAGUAACAGCAGAUUAUUUGGGCAUGGACCACAAUCAUAAGAACCAAAAGUAUUGAAGCAAAAUACUCCAGGGAAGCAAGGACUGGAUACACAUUCAUCUACAUCCUCUUGACAGUGUUUACCUGCAUUAAAAUACAGAUUUAAUUUUCUAUAAUAUUGUGUCAUUAGACUUUGAUGGCAUAUUUAUAAAAGUACAAUGUAUGCCAGUGCUGAAAUAGAGAAAAAAAUAUCUAUCAUUUCAGUACAGCUAAUAAGAACAGCUGACUAGGUUUGCAAUUCACAUUUUUUCAUCUUAUAUUAAGUAUCUUGCUUACUGCAGAAUAUGGAAGAAAUGAGCUGUGGGAACUACAUGUUUAUCUGCAGGAGAAAUCACACUGUAACCAAACUCAUCAUUCGUAUGUUUCUCCAUAUUGCUGAGUUUACCUCUGUGGAAAUUUGCUUUCAUAGUAAACUAAAAUAAACAACCAUUGUAUUCAUGCAAGAAAAAUCUUGAAGUAUACCAUAUAUCUUUAUCACCAGAACAGAAAAUUUCUUUAUAAUCUAACAGUAAGCUAUUUACGGUCAAAAAUUAAAAAAAUAGAAUUUCAGACAUAUA